GCACUCGUGUACUGAAUAAGCCCAUCAAAAAUUGCUUACAAAAAAAUAUAAGCCAAGGGCUUAUAGUCAGAGGUUUAUGGUAUUCUUGACUUGCAACCAACCCUUGAGAGUUAGAAGACACUUAAGAGCUGCCAUUUUGGUGCCAAAUUCAGUGAAAGAUAAUGAGAACCUUUUGAAAAAAUGGCACCAACAUGACUGUUCAGCCCACAUAGCUACAAGUCAAGAAUAGCACUCUCCUUCUUUUACAGUACAUUUUUCUGGCUGGCAGUGGCUUAUAUAGCUUUAGCCAUAGCUUUGUUAUUAGCCUGCCUCGCACACAUCCUUAUGGCUCUGAGCCAUUUAAGGAUGUCUGCGAUGCAGGCUACUUUGUUAUCUGUGAUAGUCUAUGUUCAACCAUAAUGUUAAUAAGAGGAAUAUAGACUUUUGUAUGAAUUUGUAUGACAAGCAAAAACAUAGCCAUUAGACACAGAGAUGAAUUUACUGGGGGGAGUGGGGGUGCAUUCCCCUAGCCCUGGCCAGAGGGGCUGCAGGGGGAGGGUGCUAUUUUUCAUGAUAAAGGGAAAAAUUAUUAGAGACUAAAUGAGCCGGAUACAGUAAUUUGAGUAAUAACAUGAUGAUAAGCGAACUGUGCGCAACAAUUCAAAUACAGUAGUCAAGCAAGACUUUGCAGUAGUGAAGCAAGUUGAUGGGCUGGCGGCACACAUGACCGACACAACUCAAUUGUAAUGACUUUAUUAAUUGUAAUGACUUUAUUAGCAUGAUCUAUAAUUACAAGAUAUUGCUAAAGUACUGUAGUUCCAUCAAUAUAACUAUUAACGUUCAUAACUAACUAAUAAUAACAUAUUUUUUAACUUUAUAUUAUUUAC